rnacentral:rRNA from 1 species
AGCAGUAGCCGCGGGAAUACGGAGGGUGCAAGCGUUAUCCGGAUUCACUGGGUUUAAAGGGUGCGUAGGCGGGCAGGUAAGUCAGUGGUGAAAUCUUCGAGCUUAACUCGGAAACUGCCGUUGAUACUAUCUGUCUUGAAUAACGUUGAGGUGAGCGGAAUAUGUCAUGUAGCGGUGAAAUGCUUAGAUAUGACAUAGAACACCGAUUGCGAAGGCAGCUCACUAAACGCUCAUUGACGCUGAGGCACGAAAGCGUGGGGAUCAAACAGGAUUAGAUACCCCUGUAGUCCCUGUCUCUUAUAC